rnacentral:rRNA from 1 species
UACGGGGGGGGCAAGCGUUGUUCGGAAUUACUGGGCGUAAAGGGAGCGUAGGUGGCCUUAUAAGUCAGUGGUGAAAUCUCUCAGCUUAACUGAGAAAUUGCCAUUGAUACUGUAGGGCUUGAGUACAGAUGCCGUUGGCGGAAUAUGACAUGUAGUGGUGAAAUACAUAGAGAUGUCAUAGAACACCGAUUGCGAAGGCAGCUGACGAAACUGUAACUGACACUGAGGCUCGAAAGUGCGGGGAUCAAACAGG